UACGAAGGGGGCUAGCGUUGUUCGGAAUUACUGGGCGUAAAGGGCGCGUAGGCGGACGCGUAAGUCAGGGGUGAAAUCCCGGGGCUCAACCUCGGAAUUGCCUUUGAGACUGCGUAUCUUGAGGACGGGAGAGGGUCGUGGAAUUCCCAGUGUAGAGGUGAAAUUCGUAGAUAUUGGGAAGAACACCGGUGGCGAAGGCGGCGACCUGGACCGUAUCUGACGCUGAGGCGCGAAAGCUAGGGGAGCAAACGGG
rnacentral:rRNA from 1 species